rnacentral:rRNA from 1 species
UACAGAGGUCUCAAGCGUUUGUUCGGAUUCAUUGGGCGUAAAGGGUGCGUAGGCGGCGCGGUAAGUCGGGUGUGAAAUUUCGAGGCUUAACUUCGAAACUGCAUUCGAUACUGCCGUGCUAGAGGACUGGAGAGGAGACUGGAAUUUACGGUGUAGCGGUGAAAUGCGUAGAUAUCGGAAGGAACAUCAGUGGCGAAAGCGACUUCCUGGACCAGUACCGACGUUCAGGCACGAAAGCGUGGGGAGCAACAG